rnacentral:misc_RNA from 1 species
GAAAUGCGAUAAGUAAUGUGAAUUGCAGAAUUCAGUGAAUCAUCGAAUCUUUGAACGCACCUUGCGCACCUUGGCAUUCCAAGGAGCAUGCCUGUUUGAGUGUCAUCAAAUUCUCAGAACCUCCUACCUGAUGUGGAGGGACCGCCUUUGGUCCACUACUUCUUCAGGCAGCGGGGUCUGGAUCGGUGGAGGAUGCAUUGCUGGGGCUAACCCUUUGCUUCUCUGAAAUGGAUCGGCGUCACGGCUUUAUUGUCGGUAUGAUACACAUACAUGUCUUACCUGCUUCCAACCUGUGGCAGCCUUGAACGCAAAACACGCUCUCAAGAUUUGACCUCAAAUCAGGCAGGACUACCCGCUGAACUUAA